UUCUAUUCUAAAUUAUUUUCUCAUGUUAAUCUCUUCGUUGAUUUGAUUAACCUUUUUAAUUGUUUGUCUAAAUUUAAUUGCUACGAUUUUUUUUCUUCUCCAUUAAUACAGAAUUUCCAAUGUUCAUUUGAUUACUUUUGUCUUCUGUGUUUGGUUGUUUAAAUUGUUGAUUCUAUUGAUUUGACAUCGUUUUUUUCUUCUUCUUCAUCAAAUUCCCUUUAUAUCUUGUUGUUAUUCAAUUCUGAUUAUUCAUCAAUAGUUGGCUGUUGAAUUUGUGGUGGUGGAGGUGAUGCCUAUUAGGUAAAUCAAAUUAAGAGGGAAAAAUAACCGAAAGCAUCGGUAUGUUUAUUGUUAUCAACAUGAUCCUUUGCAUCAAUCUCAGCAUCUCAACUUGUUUCCACUAUCUCUUAUUGGGUGUUUUUUUCUUUCACCAUCACAAUAAUGAUACUUGAAGAAAAAGGUGAAAAAAAUGGGCAAUAUUAUUAACGCUUAAAAGGAAUUACUUAAAGAAAACCUUUGGAAUGCAUCAACGGAGAGAAACGAGUUAACUAAUGGCCAUGAUAAGGUUUAAAUAAUAUACAUUAACCACCGACAAUUUAAUCAUGUUAAGUUCAUAAAGUACAACAACAAUUUGGAAACAAUAUAAAUACAUGUAUUGGAAAUCUUAAUUGGUUUGAGAAUCUUUUAUGAACAUUUCUCACCAACUUGACUUGACUCUUCUCAGGAGGAAACAAAGAAUCAAAUCAACUUUAUUUUAAUUAACGUUUUCAAUCUCUUGGUUAAAUAAUCAAAUAAUUUCGACUGACAUAACAAACAACAAUCAAGGAUCACAUUACUUGCAAUUAACUCUUUGGUUACACUAUGUAACUUACACAUCAAUCAACUAACAGUUUACAUUUCCACCACUAAUCAAUUAACAAUUUAAAUGGCUGAAAGUUUCAUGACAAUCAAGUUGCAACCAAAAAAAGUGAAUCUCAUUUAAAUUGCUAAUCUCGUAAUUAUAAAACUACAACAACCUUUGCCAAGCAAUUAAAACCCCAACUCAUAACUAUUAAUAAUUCAAUCCAACCAUAAACCCAAUCCUUAAUUUAGUUGAUUAAUUGAACACACACACACACAUAUGAAUUUCAAGGUUUCUCUACACCGAAUCUAAUUCCAAUAUUAUCGUUAAUCCAUCUAAUUAACCAAAAAAUUUAUUUAGACGAGUUGAACACGAUAAUUAAUCUAAAAUCAUCAAAUCAAUCAACUUGAUAACCAAAGACCACAAUUCAACUGUUAAUUAGUUAAUCUUGACCAUUGCGAAGAAAAAAGUUCCCUACUGUUUCAUCAACUACAAUCAACUCACCCACUCACAAUUAAGACUGUUAAACUGCAACAAUUUGUUAAAUCAUUCUACUAAUCAAAUCCUAACUGUUAAUCUUGAAAACUAAAAACAUUAUCAAGCAACAAUUAAGAGUAAACUUAAAAACUCUAAUAUUAAUGUUUGAAAACAAAACAAAACAAUCAAAUGUUUAGGAUGAUAACAAUUAACUGUUACAAUUAAUUAACAAUCAGGUUGGGCCUGAAAAAUUAGAACCAAUCUAUUUCCAUACAAUUAAAACCAUGAUCACAAUUAACAUGAUUCUAAUGAUUUGGAAAACUUUUACAACAUGAACAUUUUGUUUGUAAAGAUAAUUAAUCAUAAUUAGCAAAAUUAAUCAUGAUGAAGAAGCUAAAUUGUUCAAUUUAACCUUACUAAAAGAAAACAAUUAAUCAACCCCACGAAUUAAUAUCUAUUAUUAUUAUCUAAUUUACCUUAACUAUAACAAUUUAAUUAAAUCAAAUUUAUUUUUAUCUUUUAAACAAUUAAAGGUUAAAAAUAAAAAAAAAACGAAAACAAUUAAGGCCUGGAAAAGUUA